rnacentral:rRNA from 1 species
AUGACCGAGACACCUCUCUGGCCAAUAACCGACAGCGGGAUCUGGAUACCCAUGUUGGCUCCCACAUAUUCCAUGAUGAUCUCAUCAGAUGAACCACGAUGUCGAGGAUUCAAUCAAUCCUGUAUUCAAUUCCCUUUGUCAAUCGGGCAUAUUUCCAACAGCGGAGUCGUCAGCCAUGAAAACAAGCGCGUCGAGAUGGAUCUCGCGGCCCUCAGCCAAACCUCCGCCGGAAACCAUGAUGAUAGGACUCAGAGAAAUCGCAACCUCACCGGAAAGUCGCUAAGACACCUGCCCCACGGACAGCGCCCCUCUGAUCCGCCCUCCUCCCCUCGCCAGGCGGCCACGCCAUUUUUAUCCAGGUCUGUGAAGCUAGUGUCGUCGCGCGCCAAGCCCCUGGAGGUUGACGUUGCAGAGGAGGACCCGCGGAUGAGCUCGUCGGCCGACAACACGGUGUACUGCUGCAUUGCCAAGGGGAACAAGGUCAUAUACAGCUACAGCAGCAAGGAUGGUGACUCGCAGACCGAGGCCACGGCGGCGCUCUGCCUCGAGAACGUGCCUCCCUACCACCGGCAUUACAUCCACACUUCGGGGUCGAGGAGCUACGGCUAUCUGAUGGCAGACGGGCACACCUUUUUCGCCAUCAUCGACCCGAGCGUCGGGCAUGUGGGUGCCUUGCAGUUCCUGGAGCGUGUGCAGGAUGAGUUCAGGAACACGAAUAGGAAUGGGUUCCAUGACGCUCUGGUUCCGGCUGUCCAGAGGCUGGUUGCUUCACUGGAGAAGAUGCCCCGUGCCGCACUUGUUCCUGAGGGUGGUGCGCAAAGGGGAGGGUCGAAUGGCAGCUCGGGCUGCACAUCGUCGAAGGCGCCUCUUCUUGGAAAAGGCAGUGGCAGGAAGGAUAAGAAGAAGGCAAAGGAGAAGGGGAUGCCUAUGGGGGAUGGCGACGAUGAGCACCAUGGCACAAGAGGUUUGAGAAUUGAUGUGCAGCCAGAGGAUGUUGGCGGCAUGUCAUUGGAGCGCAGCACAAGCCAAUCCAGGCUACGGAGGCAGCAGUCGUCGCGGUCACUGUGGAUGCGCCAUGUGAAGAUCAUCAUCAUUGUUGAUGUUCUUGUUUGUGUGGUAUUGUUUGCUGCUUGGCUUGCAGUCUGCAAGGGUUUCCAGUGUGUGUCCGGGUGA